rnacentral:rRNA from 1 species
AACGAACGUUAGCGGCGGGCCUAACACAUGCAAGUCGAGCGAGAAAGUGGCUUCGGCCAUCAGUAAAGCGGCGGACGGGUGAGUAACACGUAGGUAAUCUUCCCUUGAGCGGGGGACAACGAGCCGAAAGGCUCGCUAAUACCGCAUACGUUCCCAGAGACCUCGGUCUUUGGGAGGAAAGCUAGGUAGCAAUAUCCGGCACUCGAGGAGGAGCCUGCGUCGCAUCAGCUAGUUGGUGGGGUAACGGCCUACCAAGGCGAAGAGGCGGAGCUGGUCGGAGAGGAUGAUGAGCCAGACUGGAACUGAGACACGGUUCAGACUCGUACGGGAGGCAGCAGUGGGGAAUAUUGGACAAUGGGCGCAAGCCUGAUCCAGCCACGCCGCGUGAGUGAUGAAGGCCUUCGGGUCGUAAAGCUCUGUGGGGAGGGACGAACCGCUGUCGGUUAAUACCCGGCAGCAUGACGGUACCUCCUUAGCAAGCACCGGCUAACUUCGUGCCAGCCGCCGCCGUAA